GGGAAAGAACAACGACGGCUACAGAACGUUUCAAGAUGUCCACUGACAACAACAAUGAAAGAAAUGCAAUGAUACAGUUUCUAUUCUGUAAUGGGUUCAAACAGAAGGAAAUUUGCCUUAUGUUGGCUUCAAAUGGACAUAAAAUAAGGUGUGUUGCUUCC